UAGGGAAUCUUCCGCAAUGGGCGAAAGCCUGACGGAGCAACGCCGCGUGAGUGAUGAAGGUCUUCGGAUCGUAAAACUCUGUUAUUAGGGAAGAACAAAUGUGUACGUAACUAUGCACGUCUUGACGGUACCUAAUCAGAAAGCCACGGCUAACUACGUGCCAGCAGCCGCGGUAAUACGUAGGUGGCAAGCGUUAUCCGGAAGUAUUGGGCGUAAAGCGCGCGUAGGCGGUUUUUUAAGUCUGAUGUGAAAGCCCACGGCUCAACCGUGGAGGGUCAUUGGAAACUGGAAAACUUGAGUGCAGAAGAGGAAAGUGGAAUUCCAUGUGUAGCGGUGAAAUGCGCAGAGAUAUGGAGGAACACCAGUGGCGAAGGCGACUUUCUGGUCUGUAACUGACGCUGAUGUGCGAAAGCGUGGGGAUCAAACAGG
rnacentral:rRNA from 1 species